CUACACACUUCAGCAGCAGAUAUAAUAAAAAUGGAACAAUACAGACAAUUAGCAUGGCCCCUGUGCAAGAAUGACAUGCAAUUUCAUCAAAUAUUCCAUAUUUAA
ensembl:snRNA U6 U6 spliceosomal RNA